UCAGAGGUGAAAUCCCACGGCUCAACUGUAGAACUGCCUUUGAUACUGAUAGACUUGAGUUAUUGUGAAGUGAUUAGAAUGUGUGGUGUAGCGGUGAAAUGCAUAGAUAUCACACAGAAUACCAAUUGCGAAGGCAGAUUUCUGACUAUAUACUGACGCUCAUGUACGAAAGCGUGGGGAGCGAACAGGAUUAGAUACCCUGGUAGUCCACGCCGUAAACGAUGGAUACUAGCUGUUGGGGGUAUAUUGGUUAGAUGAGUGGCUAAGCGAAAGUGAUAACUCCCCCGGGUGGGGACUACGGUCGCGAGACUGAAACUAAAUUGAAUUGACGG
rnacentral:rRNA from 1 species